GGCGAAAACCUGACGCAGCGACGCCGCGUGAGGGAUGAAGGCCUUCGGGUCGUAAACCUCUGUCAGGAGGGAAGAACCGUCAUGGUGCUAAUCAGCCAUGGUCUGACGGUACCUCCAAAGGAAGCACCGGCUAACUCCGUGCCAGCAGCCGCGGUAAUACGGAGGGUGCAAGCGUUACUCGGAAUCACUGGGCGUAAAGAGCACGUAGGCGGCCUUGCAAGUCAGAUGUGAAAUCCAACGGCUUAACCGUUGAACUGCAUUUGGAACUUCAAGGCUAGAGUAUGGGAGAGGUAGGUGGAAUUCUCGGUGUAGGGGUAAAAUCCGUAGAGAUCGAGAGGAAUACUCAUUGCGAAGGCGACCUGCUGGAACAUUACUGACGCUGAGGUGCGAAAGCGUGGGGAGCAAACA
rnacentral:rRNA from 1 species